rnacentral:rRNA from 1 species
CUGAAACAGCGAGAGCACGAACACCCCUUUGAAUUAAGCAUAUGAGUAAAGGGAGGAAGAGAAACUUACAAGGAUUCCCGCAGUAGCGGCGAGCGAAGAGGGAGCAGCCCCGAGUGCAAUUAUCAUCGUGUUGUGAUAAGAUGUCGGCGGUCGAACGAACGGCGUUGAAUCGCCGGCCACCGAGGGUGAUAGCCCCGUAGGGACCGAGCGCGGGAGUAGCAGUGUUUGGUAUUGCACUGUGAACGGGUGGCAGCGCCCAUCCAAGGCUAAAUACGGCGCGAGACCGAUAGUGGAGAAGUAGUGCGAACGAAAAACGAAUAGACUGAAAAGGUGAAAUUGCGCAGGGAGCCGAGCGGCUCGGCCCCGUCUUGAAACACGGACCAAGGAGAGCAUGUGCACAGCGAGUCGGAGGGCCUAGACCCUUGGGCGGAGCGAAGGCGGCAGAGCUGUGGGCAUGCGACCCGAUAGACUAGUGAACUAUGCCCGGCGUCUGUGAAGGCUGACGAAAGACAGCCGGAGGCAGUGCGCGGUUCUGAUGUGCAAAUCGAUGGCAGCAGCCGGGCAUAGGGGCGAAAGACCAAUCGAACAGUCUGGUAGCUGGUUCCCCCCGAAAUGUGUUUUAGGACAGCACGCGAGCGAAGAGAGGCUAGGUAGAGCAAAGGUCGCUUAACGCACGUGGCGAACGAACUGCGAAUGAGCCAGGGAGUGCAUGCGCAGAAGCACUGCGGACUUGGGCGAGCGUAGUGGGCGAGUUCUGGUAAGCAGGACUGGCGAGGAGGAAUGAACCUGGCACCGCGAUAAGGCACCGAACGGCGCGGCAGGGAGCAAAGGAUGUAGGUGAAUGAGGACGAUAGGGCGGUGGCCAUGGAAGUCGGCACCCGGUAAGAAACGUGUUGCAACGUACCUAUGGAAUUCAGCUGCACCGAAAAUUGACGGUGCUCACGCGGCGGCCGAUGCGCGGUACAUGGUAGGGGGGCAGGCGUGGGCUGGAGAAGGCGCGUCGCGAGACGCGGUGGAGGGCCACGCCGAGCAGAUCUUGGAGGUAGUAACGACAAUUCGUCUGAGAGGGCGAAGACCGAGGAGGAGAAGGGUUUCCCCAUGAUGGGCAUCAGUGGGGAGAGAGCCGGGACUGAGCGACGGGACGGACGCCCGAGCGACAGAGAAGCGGGCGAGGAUUCCUGCGCCCUGCAGGCACGCGGCGACGCACGCGCCGUGUUGACGGGCACCCGAGCGCGCGGCAGAGCAGCCAUCUCUGUCUGCAGGUGCGUGCCACGCGAGAUGGGUCAGCCAGCGAACGUGGGGCGCUGGGAGCCACACUGUGGCGCGCGUGACGGGUGUCCCCGUGAAAAGACACGGCGAACACUGCAGGCCCGUACCGACAACCGCGACAGGUCUCCUAGGUGAAGAGCCUCUGGUGGAUGUUUAACGCAGGUAAGGGAAGUCGGCAAAAUGGAUGCGUAACUUCGGGAGAAGUAUUGGUUCUUAUGGAACUCUUGGUGGCGCGGGGAAUCUGACUGUUUAAUAAAAACAUAGCUUCAUGAAGGAGAGAUGAAGUGAGUUCUGCCCGGUGCUCGAACAGUGAAAGGUGAGAAAUGACUGUACGCGCGGGUAAACGGCGGGAGUAACUAUGACUCUCUUAAGGUAGCCAAAUGCCUCGUCGAUUAAAUGUCGACGCGCAUGAAUGGAAUGACGAGAUUCCCACUGUCCCUAUCUGCAGACUAGUGAACCCACGGCUCAAGGGAACGGGCUUGAGUUAGAGAGCGGGGAAAGAAGACCCUUUUGAGCUUGACUCUAGUGUGGCAGCGCGGUGGGCACAGUUGCGAUGUAGGGAGGUGGUAGCUCCGGCGCAGGUGAAAGACCACUGCGCAACAGUGCCCAUUGCACACCCCUGGGGGGAUGGAUGCCAGAUGGGGAGUUUGGCUGGGGCGGCACGGCUGCAGCAACAGAACGCAGCCGUCCGAAGGCACUUGCAGCGAGACGAGAACACCCGCGUAGAGCAUAAGGGCUUGAGAGUGCUUGAGCACGGGCUGGGCGGCCCGUGUGCGGGGAAACCCAGGCCUAGAGAUCCUACGGCCACGCGGCGGUUGUGGCGUAGGUGACAGAAAAGUUACCGGAGGGAUAACUGGCUUGUGGCACCCGAGCGCAGAAAGCGACGGUGCUUUUUGAUUCUUCGAUGUCGGCUCUUCCUAUCAUGGCCAUGCAGGAGUGGCGAAGUGUUGGAUUGUUCACCCACAAACAGGGAACGUGAGCUGGGUUUAGACCGUCGUGAGACAGGUUAGUUUUAUCCUACUCUCUGGUCCGGGAGGGGAGAGGGUAGUAGUACGAAAGGAAGGCCCCUCGAGACCGCUGGUCGAGCCGUUGUGCGGACGUGCAUGCGGCGAAGCUACGUCUCCACGAGCACAGCUGAAGGCCUCUAAGCUGGAAGCGGGUCCCGAACGGACAAGGCGGGCGCGAAGACGACGCGCCGUGGAUGGCGGGGUUGUGCGGCAUGAGCAAUGGAGCGAUCCAGCGAGUGCUUGAGACCCUGCUCAUCCCCCGCCGC